UUUAAGAAAUAAUAUUUUGCUAUAUUUGUUUUGUAUUUCUUUUUUCUUUCAGAAAUAUAACAUAAUGGAUACAGCUGCUGAUAGUCCUUAUAUAAACGGUUCUUCAAAAUGUCCUUCUGACUUGGGAUACAGACUGUUAAUUCACAGGGAUAACUGCUAGAUGAUGGUAUUAUGGCAGACAGGAUCUAAUAAGGCUAUCCAAAUCUCUCCCAGCUGAGGUUUGGUCCCACCUGGUGACAAGUACCCACUCCAGGCUAAUUAUACAUGGAGAUGCUUUCAAGUCCUAUGAUGGAGACUUUCAGAAGACGGGCAGCUUUCCAGGAAUUUCCUAGUUAGUGAACAAGAAACCAAGUCCUGAGAUUCAAGGAUAUUUCCAUAGGGAAAAAGUAUGCUCUACCAGUUUUAAGAAAUUGAACCUUGAUGUGUGAAGUCAACAGCUGUAAGUCAUCAGCUUCCCCUCAUAGCCUGCAAGUAUGAUACCACAUUGCAUUUUCUAACAUUAAACACCUUAUAAACCUUUUGA